CCUACGGGGAGCAGCAGUGGGGAAUAUUGCACAAUGGGGGAAACCCUGAUGCAGCGACGCCGCGUGAAGGAAGAAGUAUUUCGGUAUGUAAACUUCUAUCAGCAGGGAAGAAAAUGACGGUACCUGACUAAGAAGCCACGGCUAACUACGUGCCAGCAGCCGCGGUAAUACGUAGGGGGCAAGCGUUAUCCGGAUUUACUGGGUGUAACGGGAGCGUAGGCGGUUUAGCAAGGCAGAAGUGAAAGCCCGGGGCUCAACUCCGGGACUGCUUUUGAAACUGGUGAACUAGAGUGCAGGAGAGGUAAGUGGAAUUCCUGGUGUAGCGGUGAAAUGCGUAGAUAUUAGGAGGAACACCAGUGGCGAAGGCGGCUUACUGGACUGUAAAUGACGCUGAGGCUCGAAAUCGUGGGGAGCAAACAGGAUUAGAUACCCUUGUAGUC
rnacentral:rRNA from 1 species